rnacentral:pre_miRNA from 1 species
GGCUACCAUCAUCAUUACCAGGCAGUAUUAGAGAGAGUGAUUAUAUCCAAUGCUGCCUCGUAAGAUGGGGAUGAC